rnacentral:miRNA from 1 species
UAAGCUCUGUGUACUUUUUAC